AUACGAACUGCGCAAACGUUAUUCGGAAUCACUGGGCUUAAAGGGUCCGUAGGCGGCCAGACAAGUCAGGUGUGAAAGCUCUCGGCUCAACCGAGGAAUUGCGCUUGAAACUGUUUGGCUUGAGUACGAUAGGGGUGUGCGGAACUUCUGGUGGAGCGGUGAAAUGUGUUGAGAUCAGAAGGAACGCCGGUGGCGAAAGCGGCACACUGGGUCGUAACUGACGCUGAGGGACGAAAGCUAGGGUAGCGAACGGGAUUAGAAACCCCGGUAGUCC
rnacentral:rRNA from 1 species